AUUGAACGCUGGCGGCAGGCCUAACACAUGCAAGUCGAACGAGUGGCGGACGGGUGAGUAAUGUCUGGGAAACUGCCUGAUGGAGGGGGAUAACUACUGGAAACGGUAGCUACUACCGCAUACCAUCGGAUGUGCCCAGAUGGGAUUAGCUAGUAGGUGGGGUAACGGCUCACAUAGGCGACGAUCCCUAGCUGGUCUGAGAGGAUGACCAGGCACACUGGGACUGAGACACGGGCCAGACUCCUACGGGAGGCAGCAGUGGGGAAUAUUGCACAAUGGGCGCAAGCCUGAUGCAGCCAUGCCGCGUGUAUGAAGAAGGCCUUCGGAUUGAAAAGUGCUUUCAGGUGGGAGGCGUUACCUGCAGAGGAAGCAACGGCUAACUCCGUGCCAGCAGCCGCGGUAAUAC
rnacentral:rRNA from 1 species